UACGUAGGAGGCGAGCGUUGUCCGGAAUUAUUGGGCGUAAAGAGCUCGUAGGCGGCUUGUCGCGUCGGCUGUGAAAACCUGGGGCUCAACCCCGGGCCUGCAGCCGAUACGGGCAAGCUAGGAUUCGGUAGGGGAGACUGGAAUUCCUGGUGUAGCGGUGAAAUGCGCAGAUAUCAGGAGGAACACCGGUGGCGAAGGCGGGUCUCUGGGCCGAUAUUGACGCUGAGGAGCGAAAGCGUGGGGAGCGAACAGG
rnacentral:rRNA from 1 species